CUCUCACUGAAUGCAACGAUCAGGCUUGGAUAGAACGGGAGGAGGGGGUUUCUGAAGACUCUCACCAUGGACAGUAGCAGGCGGAUUCGGGAAGGAGACCAGACUUUGAACUCCUCCUGAACCAGUGCUCCACAACCAGCUUUGCAUGCACCUGCUCAUCGAUUUGGAAAGGUACCUGGGGCUAUAAGAUGUGUUAACAAGAAGACAGUGUGUUGGCCACUAAUUGGAUAAUGACCAUCUUCCUCUCCCCACAACUGGGCAAUGGAUCCCAGUGUGUGAGCUCAGUGUCUCCUGUUAAUUGUCAAUUGGUACAGAUGUUAUUGAAAACAGAAUGGAGAGUCCUCAAGAAGUCAAAAAAAAAGAACCAUCAUAUGAUCAAGCAAUCUAACUUUGGGGUAUAUAUACCAAAGAAUUGAAAUCAGAAUUUUAAAGAGAUAUUUGCAUCCCUGUGUUCAUUGUAGCAUCAUUCACAGUAACCAAGAUAUGGAAACAACCUAAACAUCCACUUAGAGAUAAAUGGGUAAAGAAAAUAAGGUAUAUGGAUGUAAUCGAAUAUUACUCAUCUUUAAAAAAAAAAAAUCCUGCCAUUUGUGACAAUGUGGAUGGACCCGGAGGACAUGUAUAACAGAUUCUCUUUGCUGUACACCUGAAAUUAAUACAUUGUAAAUCAACUAUAUUCCAAUAAAAAUAAAUUAAAUUAAUUUUUUUAAUAAAAUAAAAAGCAUCACUAAAAUGGGAUAAAUAAAUAAGCAAGCCAGGCACAGAAAGACAAGUACUGUAAUAUCUCACUUACAUGUGGCAUCUAAAAUAGACUCAAGGAAGCAGAGAGUAAAAUGGUGGUUACCCAGGUUGGAUGGAGAGGAAAAUGGAGAGGAGAUGUUAAAGGGUACAAAGUUUCAAUUAUGCAAAAUAAAUAAGAUGCACUGUACAGUGUGGUAUGUAUAGCUACCAAUGCUAUAUUGUAUUUAAAAUUUGCUAAGAGAGUAGAUCUUAUGGUAAGGGUUCUUUCCACACAUUAUCCUCCUCUUUGUCGUCUUAGGGGUGGGAAGUUAUUUGGAGAGGUGAUGGAUAUGCUUAUGAUGUUGAUGGUGGUCAUGAUUUCAUGAGUGUAUACUUAACCCCUAAUUCAUCAAGUUGUUUACAUCAAAUAUGUAAAGCUUUUUAUAUGUCACCCAUUACCCUAAGUAGUUUAAAACCAAAUGUUUGAAGUAUGAUGUUACUGUUCUAGUUAACUUCUUUGUACUCUGGGGAAGCUAAGUUGUUAUGUAAUUUUUCCUACAUAGCUCUAGCUCAAGUCCUGUUUUCCUGAUAGCUUCU